AGAGUUUGAUCCUGGCUCAGGAUGAACGCUGGCGGCGUGCUUAACACAUGCAAGUCGAGCGAAGCAGUUAAGAAGAUUCUUCGGAUGAUUCUUAACUGACUGAGCGGCGGACGGGUGAGUAACGCGUGGGUGACCUGCCCCAUACCGGGGGAUAACAGCUGGAAACGGCUGCUAAUACCGCAUAAGCGCACAGAGCUGCAUGGCUCGGUGUGAAAAACUCCGGUGGUAUGGGAUGGGCCCGCGUCUGAUUAGGCAGUUGGCGGGGUAACGGCCCACCAAACCGACGAUCAGUAGCCGGCCUGAGAGGGCGACCGGCCACAUUGGGACUGAGACACGGCCCAAACUCCUACGGGAGGCAGCAGUGGGGAAUAUUGCACAAUGGGGGAAACCCUGAUGCAGCGACGCCGCGUGGAGGAAGAAGGUCUUCGGAUUGUAAACUCCUGCUGUUGAGGAAGAUAAUGACGGUACUCAACAAGGAAGUGACGGCUAACUACGUGCCAGCAGCCGCGGUAAAACGUAGGUCACAAGCGUUGUCCGGAAUUACUGGGUGUAAAGGGAGCGCAGGCGGGAAGGCAAGUUGGAAGUGAAAUCCAUGGGCUCAACCCAUGAACUGCUUUCAAAACUGUUUUUCUUGAGUAGUGCAGAGGUAGGCGGAAUUCCCGGUGUAGCGGUGGAAUGCGUAGAUAUCGGGAGGAACACCAGUGGCGAAGGCGGCCUACUGGGCACCAACUGACGCUGAGGCUCGAAAGUGUGGGUAGCAAACAGGAUUAGAUACCCUAGUAGUCCACGCCGUAAACGAUGAGAACUAAGUGUUGGAGAGAUUCAGUGCUGCAGUUAACGCAAUAAGUUCUCCGCCUGGGGAGUAUGCACGCAAGUGUGAAACUCAAAGGAAUUGACGGGGGCCCGCACAAGCGGUGGAGUAUGUGGUUUAAUUCGAAGCAACGCGAAGAACCUUACCAGGCCUUGACAUGGAUAUAAAUGUUCUAGAGAUAGAAAGAUAGCUAUAUAUCACACAGGUGGUGCAUGGUUGUCGUCAGCUCGUGUCGUGAGAUGUUGGGUUAAGUCCCGCAACGAGCGCAACCCCCGCCGCGUGUUGCCAUCGGGUGAUGCCGGGAACCCACGCGGGACCGCCGCCGUCAAGGCGGAGGAGGGCGGGGACGACGUCAAGUCAUCAUGCCCCUUAUGCCCUGGGCUGCACACGUGCUACAAUGGCCGGUACAGAGGGAUGCCACCCCGCGAGGGGGAGCGGAUCCCGGAAAGCCGGCCCCAGUUCGGAUUGGGGGCUGCAACCCGCCCCCAUGAAGUCGGAGUUGCUAGUAAUCGCGGAUCAGCAUGCCGCGGUGAAUGCGUUCCCGGGCCUUGUACUCACCGCCCGUCA
rnacentral:rRNA from 1 species